UUGACAAAAUUUACCCACGUAGUCCAGGAGUCCAUAUUACUCCCUCCGAACGGAUGAUACUUGAGACCGAUGGUGAUAGCACAUAUGAUACUCCAGGCCCGAUGGAGGGGCCAAAUGGUGACGACUCUAUACAAGGAACCUGGAGCCGACGAUGUUCACAAGAAUUACCCAAGUAGUCCAGGUACUAAGGCUGUGCAUAUAUACUGAGAUUGCUUUUAUGCUUUUUAUUAUGUGAUAAAUCAAACUUAACAGACUUGGGCAGAACCGAUUCUAAUAGAUCAAGCGUGUGACUUGUAGGAGUCCAUAUUACUCACUCGGACAGGACGAUACUUGAAGAGGCCGAUUGUGAAAGGACAUAUGUUCAUCAACCUUCCCAUCUGAUUUCGGGUACGUAUUAUGUUGUAUAAAGGUUAAGACCAUGUGCCUACAACUUUGCCUUGUUUCUGCGAUGAUAUUAUAUAUACUGAGAUUGCUUUUAUGCUGUUUAUGUGAUAAAUCAAACCUAACAGACUUGGGCAGAACCGAUUCUAAUAGAUCAAGCGUGUGACUUGUAGGAGUCCAUAUUACUCACUCGGACAGGACGAUACUUGAACAGGCCGAUUGUGAAAGGACAUAUGUUCAUCAACCUUCCCAUCUGAUUUCGGGUAAGUAUUAUGUUGUAGAAAGGUUAAGACCAUGUGCCUACAACUUUGCCUUGUUUUCGGUUCAAUAUAUUGUUAUGUUAACAUGAUGCAGACAACCCUCCAAUCUCAUUCCUAUAUAAUGUAGAUUCGUUGCCAGCUCUUAGUUAUCUGACAAAAUAACUAGCUAGCAUGCAACGUGACAGUUGGCAAGAGAGGCCGCAUAAUGUUCCACGCCAUCCUCACAGUGAUAUCACUAAUGCAGAUCAACCAUCCUCUGUGGACCUUGACGAAAAAAGAGAGUUGAUAAAAGCUCGGAGGCGAGCUGCUUAUAGAAAGAAAAAAGAGGAGGCUACCGUCAAGCAACAAGAGGAAAAUCUGUCUGCCCUUACGAUAUCAGGUAAGAAUGCUUUAU